UGUUAGUUAGGGGUUUGGGUCAUUGGCACCUCUUUUUUUGGACCCAGGGCCAUGGCACUGAUCCUCACCCUAAGCUCAUUUGUUUAUUUAUUUGUUUGUUUUUAAAAUUUGAAACAGGAUCUAAGUUUCCCAGACAGGACUUGAACUUGAUGGACAGGGCCGUAUGUGUACUAUAUGACGUUUGGUCUCCUGACUGUCUUCUGUAUAUUGGUUGUACGCCUGUAAAGAAAGUUGUGAAAAAUCAAGAGAGUGGAAACCCCUGGACUAGAGACACAGAAGGAAGCCCUAGCUGGACACCCAGAAGAUGCCAGCAUUGUGCUGCAUGCUUUCAGCCUGGAGGACCUGGAGCCACAUAAAACAGCUCUCCUUUAUUGGUUGAUUCUGUGGAUGUGGAACUUGUGGAUCUAAGGUGAAAGAAAAAUAAAAAACAUUAAGAAAAAGAGCACAAGGAAAAGUAAAAAUGGAAAUCCUAGGAGAAGACACAGUGCUGCGUAUGGAACCUAGGGCCUAGAAUAUACUAAGGAAAUGCUCUACCACUGAGCUACACUUCAAAUCCCGAAACUAAGAAAAAUGUAAGUCACAAGAAAACGACCUCAGAAUGAUGCCAUCAUCAGACAGGAAGCGGCCUUUUAGAAAACUGUUUGGGGAUGGAAAAGGCUGAGAAAGCAAAUAAGUUAAUGCUGCUGUCAGCACAGUAGCAUGUGCCUCCUGGAAGGGCCAGCUCCCCAGCCCCGCCGUGGAAGCCACCAACCACCGACCCAGAGAACAGACACCGCGUGGUUACCGAGUCCCGUGUGUUCGUUCUCUGCCUUCGCCCUGGUACCCCACUGUUCUCCAUCAACCUCACCUGAUGCUCUGGUCUUGUCUUUUUCUUCCACUGUCGUUUUAUUCCUCUGCUGGAUCAUAUCUAGAAUUUUCUCUUCUAGCCUAAGGUCAGUGGGCAUGGCUAAGGAAGCUACGGCAACUGGAUCUUUCUACCUCUCCCCCGUAAUAUCUUAUUUCAGUAUCCAGAAGCUGGGUAGCCACAGACCAGCUGUCACCACAGUCUGCCUGCCUGUUCUCUCUCACAGAGUAAGGAAAGAACCUCUUCUCAGGAAGUUGCCUGGCUGUCACUUGCUGGACCUCAAGCUGUGCCGGCAAAGCCAUUUCCUCUCAGACUAACUUCACACCCUCAAGAAUCCUCAUAGUUUUGACCACCUGGAAGGCUAGUGUUUUCAGUAGAAUGAUUUGUUUCUGCUGGAAAGGUGUGUGUAUGUGUGCGACCUAAGCAGACCUAUAGUUGCAACCAUGUUUUUCUGUCAUGUCCCCUGUUCUGCAUGUUGUGGACAGUUUCUGUGCCCAUAGGUCAGACAUUCCAACCUUUAGUAUCCACCCUCUGACCCACAGCACUGACUGUGUGUGCAUGGAUGUAUUUGUGGCCAUUUGCGGCCCCAGGUGGGGUCACUCUGAACCCAACCCAGGAAGCCCCGAUGGGGCGAUGAGGGGGACACAGUGAGAUGCCAAUGAGCAGCAGCACGACCCGAGGAGUGCACCCCUGCAGACAGCCGUGUGGCAGCCCCACACAGGCUUCUGGGACCGGCUGUCACUGGUGGCCUGCAGAUCUGCUUGCUGGCUAGCUGGAGUGCGGAGGUACCCCUGAGCUCAUGGGCUCCCUAAUUCCAGAUCCCUGGACUUGGACUUAGUAGGACAGAAAAAAAAGAUACCUUUUCUUGGAUUAUUUUGGAACAGAAUGCCUAACAAAACUGUCAGAAUGAGGCAAAUAAAAGAGAGAUAAUUUUCAGAGGAGAGCCGAGGAUAUAGGCGCACAAGCACCUGCCUGGCAAGUGUGAGGCUGCGAGUCUGAUCCCCGGCACAAAAAACAAAAUAAAACAACAACAAAACCGACAAAAAUUCAGAGAAGAUAGAAAAUACGUUAACAAGCAAAUAGAUCUAAUAGGUGUAGAUAUUUAGUACAUGUUUCCUAAACAAGGAGCAACACAAGUAGUUAAUAAGGAAAUUUUAAGAAAUAAUCUACAAUGGAAUCCAUCUUUGGGUACUUAUUUGUGAAAAAUCCCUGGUAAGAAAGUUGUUUGUUAGAAGUAGAGAAGAACUAUUUAUGUCCUAUAUUUCCAGUUUUCUACCUUUCAACUAACAAUUGGUUGUUGCUUUACUAAGAGAAUGGACCAGCAUGACUAGGUACAGGAGCCCUGAAAUGAAAACAGCCAAAUUUCAGCUCUCUGACUUCCAUCCUUGUUUUGAGAAAACCUUUUUCUCAUGGGAGGGCAACUAGUGAAGCUAAGUUCUUGUGUCUCUAGUGGGUGGCAUUUGCCAGGGCUCGCUUGAAUGCAAUGCAGAUGCCCUUGGAGAGCCUGCUAGAAUGACCAGGGAAAUCACUUUGCCCAGGACUUGGGGUUUUCCAGUGCUUAUUCCAGAGGGUCCCUGGAAAACUGAGGCAAGCUGGUGACCCUAGUAACUGCCAGCCAUCAAGAUUCUGCAAACGUGCCAAGAGUUUCAAGACUGCAAGUUCCCCAGAUAUGUCCCCUGAUAACAUCAAGCGUGAUGGCCAAGAACACUCUGUGCUCUAUUCCGUCUAAUGCUUUCUCCUCUGUUCCCUUUGGUCCAUUCUGCUGGGGUUUUUGUAGUUUCUAGAAAAUAAAGGUAGUUAAACCAUAGCUCUCUAGUUCCUAAUUGUUUGCAAGCAGAAGCCCUGUCACCUCAUCUGACUUAUCUUUACUGCCAAUCCUUAACAAAAUGUCGUUGUGAAAUUCUUUCAAUAUGAAUUUAAAAUCAAUCUUUCAGAAUAACUGAAUUGUAAAGUGAGUAACAUGAUUAAGCAUCUAUAUCCA